AGUUCAUAUAGGGCGAUUGAUUAUGCGGCCGCGAUUCGCCCUUGUGCCAGCAGCCGCGGUAAUUCCACGUUGGGGGAGCGCAUAUUAAAGUUGUUGUGGUUAAAAAGCUCUUUAGGGGAACCUUGGGCCUGGCUGGCCGGUCCGCCUCACCGCGUGCACUGGUCCGGCCGGGCCUUUCCCUCUGUGGAACCCCAUACCCUUCACUGGGCGUGGCGGGGAAACAGGACAUUUACUUUGAAAAAAUUAGAGUGCUCCAGGCAGGCCUAUGCUCGAAUACAUUAGCAUGGAAUAAUAAAAUAGGACGCGCGGUUCUAUUUUGUUGGUUUAUAGGACCGCCGUAAUGAUUAAUAGGGACAGUCGGGGGCAUCAGUAUUCAACUGUCAGAGGUGAAAUUCUUGGAUCAGUUGAAGACUAACUACUGCGAAAGCAUUUGCCAAGGAUGUUUUCAUUAAUCAGGAACGAAAGUUAGGGGAUCGAAGACGAUCAGAUACCGUCGUAGUCUUAACCAUAAACUAUGCCGACUAGGGAUCGGACGGUGUUAUUCAUGACCCGUUCGGCACCUUACGAGAAAUCAAAGUGCUUGGGCUCCCAGGGGGAGUAUGGUCGCAAGGCUGAAACUUAAAGAAAUUGACGGAAGGGCACCACCCAGGGGUGGAAGCCUGCGGCUUAAUUUUGACUCACACGGGAAACCUCCACCAGGUCCAGACACAAUAAGGGAUUGACAGGAUUGAGAGCUCUUUCUUGAUUUUGUGGGUUGGUGGUCCAUGGCCGUUCUUAGUUGGGGGGGGGGACUUGUCUGCUUUAAUUUCGAUAACGAAACGAGACCUUAACCUGCUCUAAAUGAGU
rnacentral:rRNA from 1 species